CAUAGAUAAUUAUUUUGAUUAGGCCCAAAUUAUUUCGCUCUCAUUUGAUUAGUAUCUAAUCAAAUGACUCUAUCUAUGGUUUUCUCUAUCUAUUCAUCUUUUUUGGUUUUCUCUGUCUGCGUUCUGGUUCAUCCUCUGAUUUCUGCUUUGUUUCAACUUUCAACUCACUGAUGAAUUUGUUAUCGUUGUAACCUCUGAGUUUGUUCAGAAUUAUUGUUGAUGACCAUUUUUCUGAAUACUGGACGAUCUUGUGCUCCUUCUUGGGGAAACCUAGGAAUAUUUCAGUUUUUUGCUAAACUUGCCAACUAUUUGCUGAAACUGGCUAAAUCAAAAAAUUAUGCUCCUCUGGCUCUGUAAAUUACAGAAGUUUGGCAUGGAUAGAAGUGGCUGGGAUCACAACUAUAGCCUGUGCUGAUUGGCGCAACUUCAGCAUAGCAAAAAAUUUGAUUGCAGGAGAGAAAUAUCGUGAAGAAUAGGGAGCACGCCAUUGAAAAAUUAAAAAAACAUGAAAGGAAUGAAGGUGUAAUCAAGUAAUGUAUGUCACUGAGCUUUAGGCUAUUCUGGAUAAAAGAUUCCAUUAUUAUCUUCAACUAAUAUUGAUAUAACAAGUGAUGUUUUUGCUUUCUGAGUGUGGAAAAGACAAUACUAUUUCACUGCUACUUUGUAGCAUUACAAAGCUCAUGAACGUGUUGAACAUGUAUGGAAAGAAUAUGGAACCAAAGUCACUCUUCUCCAUCAGCCGCGAGGAAGCAUUGACCAUAUUGGUGCUCCUAAUAUCUUGUUAUGAUGUCCUAGACAUCCCAUUCUAUUGUGGUUUGUUUUGCAUCUGUUAGUCAUACAGAUAAAGGUUGGCAAAGGUUUAAUACCUUUUAUCUUAUCUUGCAAAGUUAGCAUCAGUCGAAUGAAAAGAUCUUCUGACCAUUCUUACUUCUGUAGAAGAAAAUCAGUCAUAAUAAUAACAAAGAUGCUGCUGAUAGAAGAGUUGAUAGAAACAACCUAAAAUUUGAGAUCUCAGAAUUGCAGGGCGUGAGCAAUGACUGAAGCUUUUCUUUUUGGAUAUAGUCUUACAGACAGUAAAAAAGGUUCUGAUAUAUUCGUCAGGGAGUUAGAAAAAAGGAAGCUCGUGAUAUCAUAACCGGGUGAUGUGUUCCCUAUGGAGUCCAUUGGGUGAUGCCUGGAAGUAUGGAGCAAGUUUUAAAUUGUUGGCAUGGACAGAAAUAGAGAAAAGAUGGACAUAAGUGUAUGGAAAACAAUUCAGAUAUGCAUUUAUGGAUUAUUUUAUUAGAAAAGAAUAAUAGGAUCUUUGAGGGAACUAUAGAAUGUAUUCCUCAUAUAACAUUUAUUUGCAUUGAGAAUUUGGACUGUUGGAGCAAAAUAAAUGUAUCAUUUGAUAUUUCUAGAUAUCCUGGAAUUUAUGGACUCCUUGCAGGUGUAGGAUGGGUAUAUCAUGUACAAGAGGAUCUUUUCUACAAUUUAGUACCUUUUCAUGGAAGAUAAAGAACGUAUUUCUUUGCAACACACAAUGUUCUAAAUGUAGAUAUUUGAUCAGUAACUUUUUAAGAUAAAAAUUAAUUACAUCAGCGGAGCUAACUGGUAUAUUUUUGGACAUAUUGAAAAGGUAUGGUGAAUGCUUUAAUCUACUUUGUUUGUUAUUGAGUAAUUAGAUUCUCAAAAUGAUAUGUAAUUCAAGAGCUUCACAUGUAUGGUCCUGUCCUUGAAUGCAUUAUCACAAUUAGUGAAGAAUUACCAUAGCAAAAGAGGUUGCUCAACUGCUUUCAAAAGGCAAAUAUUUGGGUCCUCUUCAUGGGAUUCUGUAUGGUCUGAAGGACAUUAUUGGCUUCCAAAUCUUUCAAGGAUCAAGUUCUUGAUGUUGAAGCUUGGGUUUAUAAGAGGUAUUGUUAAUUAAUGAAUGUAGAGACCGCAACCAGAAGCAACCCUGUACAUGUGGUUGACAACACACCAAUAAGGACUCUAUUAGACA